rnacentral:snRNA from 1 species
GAGCUUAUAUCUUCAAGCC